rnacentral:rRNA from 1 species
CCUACGGGCGGCAGCAGUGAGGAAUAUUGGUCAAUGGGCGGGAGCCUGAAUCAGCCAAGUCGCGUGAGGGAUGACGGUCCUACGGAUUGUAAACCUCUUUUGCCGGGGAGCAAGCGUGCGUUCGUGAACGCGCGUCGAGAGUACCCGGAGAAAAAGCAUCGGCUAACUCCGUGCCAGCAGCCGAGGUACUACGGGGGAUGCGAGCGUUAUCCGGAUUGAUUGGGUUUAAGGGGUGCGUAGGCGGGAUGCCAAGUCAGCGGUAAAAAUGCGGUGCUCAACGCCGUCGUGCCGUUGAAACUGGGGAUGUUGAGUGGGCGAGAAGUAUGCGGAAUGCGUGGUGUAGCGGUGAAAUGCAUAGAUAUCACGCAGAACUCCGAUUGCGAAGGCAGCAUACCGGCGCCCGUCUGACGCUGAGGCACGAAAGCGUGGGGAUCGAACAGGAUUAGAUACCCGUGUAGUC